rnacentral:rRNA from 1 species
GAUGAACGCUGGCGGCGCGCCUAACACAUGCAAGUCGAACGGUUAAAGCACCUUUUAGGUGUGUAUAAAGUGGCGAACGGCUGAGUAACACGUGGGCAACCUGCCCUCCUCUUGGGGAUAGCCUCGGGAAACCGAGGAUAAUACCCGAUACUUCAAUGUGGCCGCAUGACGACAUUGAGAAAGCUUUUGCGGAGAAGGAUGGGCCCGCGGCCUGUUAGCUUGUUGGUGGGGUAGAGGCCUACCAAGGCAAUGAUGGGUAGCUGGGUUGAGAGACCGACCAGCCAGAUUGGGACUGAGACACGGCCCAGACUCCUACGGGAGGCAGCAGUGGGGAAUCUUGCACAAUGGGCGAAAGCCUGAUGCAGCGACGCCGCGUGCGGGACGAAGGCCUUCGGGUUGUAAACCGCUUUCAGCAGGGACGAGGCGAUAAGUGACGGUACCUGCAGAAGAAGCCCCGGCUAACUACGUGCCAGCAGCCGCGGUAAUACGUAGGGGGCAAGCGUUAUCCGGAUUCAUUGGGCGUAAAGCGCUCGUAGGCGGUCUGUUAGGUCGGGAGUUAAAUCCGGAGGCUCAACCUCCGCCCGCUCCCGAUACCGGCAGACUUGAGUUUGGUAGGGGAGGGUGGAAUUCCUAGUGUAGCGGUGGAAUGCGCAGAUAUUAGGAAGAACACCAGUGGCGAAGGCGGCCUUCUGGGCCAUAACUGACGCUGAGGAGCGAAAGCUAGGGGAGCAAACAGG